CGGGAACUCAAAGGAGACUGCCAGUGAUAAACUGGAGGAAGGUGGGGAUGACGUCAAGUCAUCAUGGCCCUUACGACCAGGGCUACACACGUGCUACAAUGGCGCAUACAAAGAGAAGCGACCUCGCGAGAGCAAGCGGACCUCAUAAAGUGCGUCGUAGUCCGGAUUGGAGUCUGCAACUCGACUCCAUGAAGUCGGAAUCGCUAGUAAUCGUGGAUCAGAAUGCCACGGUGAAUACGUUCCCGGGCCUUGUACACACCGCCCGUCACACCA
rnacentral:rRNA from 1 species